rnacentral:rRNA from 1 species
UACAGAGGUUCCAAGCGUUGUUCGGAUUCAUUGGGCGUAAAGGGUGCGUAGGCGGCAGGGUAAGUUGGAUGUGAAAUCCUGGGGCUUAACCUCAGAAUUGCAUUCAAUACUGUCUUGCUAGAGAGCUGUAGAGGAGACUGGAAUUUACGGUGUAGCAGUGAAAUGCGUAGAUAUCGUAAGGAACGCCAGUGGCGAAAGCGAGUCUCUGGGCAGCAUCUGACGCUGAGGCACGAAGGCCAGGGGAGCAAACGGG